rnacentral:lncRNA from 1 species
GGUCGCGGACAUCAUCUUUAGGCUGUGGAUGCCUUGGCCGGGGUCUCCAGACGCUGACCCUCCAGGGUUGGAAACUACUGCCUGCUUGCCACGUCGUGCCGCCAAUUGUGCUGCCCGAAGUAGCAGCCUGAGAGCCCUUGAAAGUUGCAGUUAUCUUGUGAACAGCAUAUUUACGGUCUCUUGGGCUUGGUGGUGGUUGGGGGAGGGCUGUUAAUGCUUUAAUUUGUUCAAUGAAACAUUUAAAAUGCCCCACAAUUUUUAUAACCCUGUUUGCCUCUUUUUGUUUUUAUUUUUAUUGUAUUUUGGAAAAAUUCACUGGGAUCCUUGAGUGAUGAUCCUAGCGUCUCCUGACCCUUAGGUGUUUCACCUGAAAAGCCUGGGUCUUCAAGCUGAGGCAUUUCUGUUCUAGCCUGGAGGCGCCUAGGAGCCCUGGGAGACUUUUUAAGCAGAGAGAUUUGGCAUUUAGAUCUCUGGGUUUUAGAGGAGUGGGAACGCACCUAAAAGUGGGGUUGCCAGUUACAAAGCUGUUGCAGUCCUGAAGAGACCCAGAGUUUAGGUCCAAAAUUUUAUUUAUUCAACAAACACUUUAUAAAGCACUUACUGUGUGCCAGGCACUGUUCUUAGCGUUUUGCAAACCUUAAAAAAAUUAUCUGGGCAUGGUGCCACCCACCACGGCCUCCUAAAGUGCUGGGAUUAUAGGCAUAAGCCACUGCUCCCAGCCUAGGUGUUUCAAACAUAACGUUAAAAUAGAAUUUUUAAUUUUUCACCCCUGUACUAACUCUGUUCCCUCAUCUUGGUAAAUGGUCCCAUUAUCUAUUCAUUUGCUCAACUCAAAUGCUAGAAUCAGACUUAUUUCUCUUAUUCCUUCAUCUCUACCAUCACCCCUGCCCCUGUACCUCCAACUAAUGCGGUCUUGAUUCUACCUCCAAAGGAUAUUCUAGGCUG